rnacentral:tRNA from 1 species
UGGGGUAUAGCUCAGUGGUAGAGUGCAUGCCUAGCAUGCAUGAGGUGCUGGGUUCGAUUCCCAGUACCUCCA